AACGAACGCUGGCGGCAGGCUUAACACAUGCAAGUCGAACGCCCCGCAAGGGGAGUGGCAGACGGGUGAGUAACGCGUGGGAAUCUACCCAUCCCUACGGAACAACUCCGGGAAACUGGAGCUAAUACCGUAUACGCCCUUAGGGGGAAAGAUUUAUCGGGGAUGGAUGAGCCCGCGUUGGAUUAGCUAGUUGGUGGGGUAAAGGCCUACCAAGGCGACGAUCCGUAGCUGGUCUGAGAGGAUGAUCAGCCACAUUGGGACUGAGACACGGCCCAAACUCCUACGGGAGGCAGCAGUGGGGAAUAUUGGACAAUGGGCGCAAGCCUGAUCCAGCCAUGCCGCGUGAGUGAUGAAGGCCUUAGGGUUGUAAAGCUCUUUCACCGAUGAAGAUAAUGACGGUAGUCGGAGAAGAAGCCCCGGCUAACUUCGUGCCAGCAGCCGCCGUAACAC
rnacentral:rRNA from 1 species